rnacentral:tmRNA from 1 species
GGGGACGAAAGGGCUCGACAGCGGUUCUUUUCGUUCGGUCUUGCGUGCCGAGGCGUCGUGACCUCGUUAAUCCCGCGGCAAACCUUCAAUAGGCGAAGAAAAAGAGUUCGCCCUCGCCGCUUAACUUUUAGCGGUGACGUUUCGUUUCCUGCCCUGACGGGCGGCGGGUUGCGAGGCGCGAUUAAUGUCCGUCUGCAUCGCUCGGGAGUCGGGACCGGCGAUAAAGACAACUCCGACUGGUCCGCCGUCUAGCCCGUUGAUGGGCAGGGCGAGGGACGAGACAUCAAACGUCAACUACGCACGUAGACGGGCCGGGCGGGGAUCGACUGGACCGGGGGUUCAAUUCCCCCGCGUCUCCACCA